CCUACGGGAGGCAGCAGUGAGGAAUAUUGGUCAAUGGGCGCGAGCCUGAACCAGCCAAGUAGCGUGAAGGAUGACUGCCCUACGGGUUGUAAACUUCUUUUAUAAAGGAAUAAAGUGAGGCACGUGUGCCUUUUUGUUUGUACUUUAUGAAUAAGGAUCGGCUAACUCCGUGCCAGCAGCCGCGGUAAUACGGAGGAUCCGAGCGUUAUCCGGAUUUAUUGGGGUUAAAGGGAGCGUAGAUGGGUUGUUAAGUCAGUUGUGAAAGUGUGCGGCUCAACCGUAAAAUUGCAAUUGAUACUGGCAGCCUUGAGUUCAGUUGAGGUAGGCGGAAUUCGUGGUGUAGCGGUGAAAUGCUUAGAUAGCACGAAGAACUCCGAUUGCGAAGGCAGCUUACUAAACUGCCACUGACAUUGAUGCUCGAAAGUGUGGGUAUCAAACAGGAGUAGAUACCCUUGUAGUC
rnacentral:rRNA from 1 species